UACAGAGGUCCCAAGCGUUGUUCGGAUUCACUGGGCGUAAAGGAUGCGUAGGCGGUCGGGUAAGUCUGGCGUGAAAUCUCCAAGCCUAACUUGGAAACUGCGUUGGAUACUAUCCGGCUCGAGGAAUGGAGGGGAGACUGGAAUACUUGGUGUAGCAGUGAAAUGCGUAGAUAUCAAGUGGAACACCAGUGGCGAAGGCGAGUCUCUGGACAUUUCCUGACGCUGAGGCACGAAAGCCAGGGGAGCAAACGGG
rnacentral:rRNA from 1 species